rnacentral:rRNA from 1 species
UACGGGGGGAGCAAGCGUUGUUCGGAUUUACUGGGCGUAAAGGGCGCGUAGGCGGUCACUACAAGUCAGUUGUGAAAUCUCUGGGCUUAACUCAGAACGGUCAACUGAUACUGUCGGACUAGAGUGCAGAAGGGGCAACUGGAAUUCUCGGUGUAGCGGUGAAAUGCGUAGAUAUCGGGAGGAACACCUGUGGCGAAAGCGGCUCACUGGACCACAACUGACGCUGAGGCGCGAAAGCUAGGGGAGCAAACAGG